rnacentral:lncRNA from 1 species
GCUGGGCAUGGUGGCACAUGCCUUUAAUCCCAGCUACUUGGGAGGCUGAGGUAGGAGAACUGCUUGAACCAGGGAGUUGGAGGUUGCAGUGAGCCAAUAUCGCGCCACUGCACUCCAGCCUGGCAACAGAGUGAGGCUCCGUCUCAAAAAAAAAAAAAAAAAUACAGACAGCAUCUUACUCUGUUGCCCAGGCUGGAGUGCAGUGGCACGAUCAUAGCUCACUGAAACCUUCACUUCCUGGGCUUAAGCGAUCCUCCCGC